rnacentral:rRNA from 1 species
ACACCUCCUCUUCGAGUUUGGGCGUGUGAAGGCGAGAGGGCACGGCGCAAAUACACCGCUCAAAGUCCGCGACAUUGACCACCUGAACCCCCUGGGCAGAACAACAACACCUCUACAAAUGACACGUCACCAGUGCGUUGGCGACUACCGCACGGGAGGUGGCUAAGCGCCCAGGAGGGUCCAGUGCAGAUCGGGGGGCUGCAACUCGCGCCCCGUGGAGGGGGGAGUUGCUAGUAAACACGUAUAAACCAUGGCGCGGUCAAUACGUACCCGGACCUUGUACACACCGCUCGUCACGAAAUGGGAGUGCCAAGAAUGAAGUACGUCGCUAAACGUUCGCGGGAGGCAUAGACUAGGGCCGGGGUCCUACUGGUACGAAGUCGUAUUUAGGUAAGUUCGGUCGUCCGGCUCGACUCAAGGGCGAACUCUGUAGAUG